rnacentral:rRNA from 1 species
AUUGAACGCUGGCGGCAGGCCUAACACAUGCAAGUCGAACGAGUGGCGGACGGGUGAGUAAUGUCUGGGAAACUGCCUGAUGGAGGGGGAUAACUACUGGAAACGGUAGCUAAUACCGCAUACCAUCAGAUGUGCCCAGAUGGGAUUAGCUUGUUGGUGGGGUAACGGCUCACCAAGGCCACGAUGCAUAGCCGGCCUGAGAGGGUGACCGGCCACACUGGAACUGAGACACGGCCCAGACUCCUACGGGAGGCAGCAGUGGGGAAUAUUCGGCAAUGGGCGCAAGCCUGACCCAGCAACGCCGCGUGUGUGAAGAAGGUUUUCGGGUCGUAAAGCUCUUUUGGUAGGGAAGCGGUAUCCGCACAGGAAGCCACGGCUAACUCCGUGCCAGCAGCCGCGGUAAUAC